rnacentral:rRNA from 1 species
GAUGAACGCUGGCGGCGUGCCUAAUACAUGCAAGUCGAGCGAACAGACGAGGAGCUUGCUCCUCUGACGUUAGCGGCGGACGGGUGAGUAACACGUGGAUAACCUACCUAUAAGACUGGGAUAACUUCGGGAAACCGGAGCUAAUACCGGAUAAUAUAUUGAACCGCAUGGUUCAAUAGUGAAAGACGGUUUUGCUGUCACUUAUAGAUGGAUCCGCGCCGCAGUAGCUAGUUGGUAAGGUAACGGCUUACCAAGGCAACGAUGCGUAGCCGACCUGAGAGGGUGAUAGGCCACACUGGAACUGAGACACGGUCCAGACUCCUACGGGAGGCAGCAGUAGGGAAUCUUCCGCAAUGGGCGAAAGCUUGACGGAGCAAUGCCGCGUGAGUGAUGAAGGUCUUCGGAUCGUAAAACUCUGUUAUUAGGGAAGAACAAAUGUGUAAGUAACUAUGCACGUCUUGACGGUACCUAAUCAGAAAGCCACGGCUAACUACGUG